AACGCACAUUGCGCCCCCUGGUAUUCCGGGGGGCAUGCCUGUUCGAGCGUCAUUUAUACCAAUCUAGCCUGGCUAGGUGUUGGGCUUCGCCGUCUGGCGGGCCUUAAAAUCAGUGGCGGUGCUUCCAGGCUCUACGCGUAGUAAUUUUCUCGCUAUAGGGUCCUGGGAGACGCUGGCCAACAACCCCAAAUUUUUCUAGGUUGACCUCGGAUCAGGUAGGGAUACCCGCUGAACUUAA
rnacentral:misc_RNA from 1 species